ACGGGUGAGUAACACGUAUCCAACCUGCCGUCUACUCUUGGACAGCCUUCUGAAAGGAAGAUUAAUACAAGAUGGCAUCAUGAGUCCACAUGUUCACAUGAUUAAAGGUAUUCCGGUAGACGAUGGGGAUGCGUUCCAUUAGAUAGUAGGUGGGGUAACGGCCCACCUAGUCUUCGAUGGAUAGGGGUUCUGAGAGGAAGGUCCCCCACAUUGGAACUGAGACACGGUCCAA
rnacentral:rRNA from 1 species